ensembl:lncRNA LINC03013 long intergenic non-protein coding RNA 3013
AGGAUAGAAGGAGACAGGCAGGCCAGAUGGCUGUUAACCGUGUGGUGUGUCCCAACUUUCCAGCAUCAAUUUAAUGGCCAAAUUAAAAUGUAAGUCAACUUAAGCCAAGGUCAAUUUUAAUCCUAUGCUUUGCUGGUGAUACAGAAUCAUUAACGGUAUCAAUAAUGCCCACAUUCAACUCAUUCUACAAUGGGGGCAAUUGUAAUUUUGGUCUGGAUAUGUUUAACAAAAUGGAAAGGAAGAAGGCAAAACCACGGAACUAUUUUUUUUUUUUCUUUAGACGGAGUCUUGCUCUAUCUGUCACCCAGGCUGGAGUACAGUGGUGCGAUCUUGGCUCACUGCAGCCUCCGCCUCCUGGGUUCAGGCAAUUCUACUGCCUCAGCCUCCCGAGCAGCUGGGAUUACAGGUGUGUGCCGCCACGCCCUGCUAAUUUUUGUAUUUUUAGUAGAGACGGGGUUUUACCAUGUUGGCCAGAUGGUCUUGAUCUCCUGACCUCAGGUGAUCCGCCCGCCUCAGCCUCCCAAAGUGUUGGAAUUACAGGCGUGAGCCACCAUUCCCAGCUGGAACUAUUUUUUUAAACUGAUGCACAUUAAUAAGAUUUAGAAAAUCUUGAGAUUUAAUGGACAGUGUUGAGAUUCAUAUAACUUUAUGUUGAGAAUUCUCUUUCCAGGAAUUAUUUAUUUCAGUUAGUCACAUUUUUAUCUUCUACUGAAGUGUAAACUUAAUUUAGUGUAAAUAACUACCAUUUGAAUACUAACAUAAUCUUUUUAUUUGUAUAAAAAAUACAAAAAGAUUGUUUAUGUGUGUGUACACAUAUGUGUCAAGACUAAAAAUUAAGCACGGGGUAAAGUCUUUGGCAAAGGACAAAUAGUCGGCAAGUUCACAGAUUAGAAUUUAGAAUUCCAUCAUGAAGUGGACUAAAUUGUUAGUUUAAAGAAGACUGUGAGUGUCAGCACAUAAAAAGGUAAUCCUGUCUCAAUUGUAGCUACAGAUUGCAAGUCCUGUGUCAAUUCAAAUUUUUGCCAGCAGAUACUAAUGACUUCAUUGAAAGCAGAUGUUUAGAAAUGAAAGUAUAAACACAACCCCAGUUGAUUAAUAUGCUUAUUGUAUUUCCUUGUUGUGAGUCUAGCGAAUAUUUGAUUAUCUUUAAGUUGAUCCAUAGUAUAUUCAACAGUCUCAUGAGAACAUAAUUUUUGUUGAUGAUUUGUCCAAAGUUUCUAUCAAUCCAUCUUAGCAGCAGAGCCAAGUGUUAGAGUUAUUGCUGCCUGAGUUAUAACAGCUGCCCUGGGAAUCUUGUCUGAACAACAAGUUAACUGCUGUUCCCAGUUAUAUCUGGUCUUUCCCACCCCCAAACAUACACAAAAGAUUUUUGUCAUUCUUGGCACUGGACAACAGAAGUGAUAAGACAUGCCAGCAGAACUCUAAAGGCAGAAUGUCCUUCCACCUGUUUUAUGCUGUAAGACAAACUUCCAAGUGCGAGGCAGUGUGGAGGGCUGUUGCCUUGAAUGGCAGCUGAAUGCACCAGCGGGAUCCUUGGCAGCAAUGCCCAGGCACUGAAGUCGGGCAUUCAGGAGAGCUAAAUGGAGAAAAGAAACUUGAGCAAACUGCUUCCUGGAACACUGAGAACCUGAAUGGGAAAUUAAGAAGAACCAGAUUCUUUCUAUUCUUCCACCAGCCAAGGUGAUGAGCACAAAAGGAUCCAUCUUAUACAGUGCUUGCCAGCUUCCAUAAUACUACUCACCACGAUGUUGAAAUCACCUGUUCCAGAACCAGUCCUGUCCUUUGACAAGAAGGAUUUAAUUAUCAGUAGUGGUGGGGACUGGCUGGAGAGAGGAAAAACACUUCAAGGACUCUGCCACCUUUCGUAGAUGGAGAGUGCAAAGUUUGUACCAUGGAACUCCUUCUCUAACAGUUACUCUGUGGCAGUGCCUAUUUCAAACCUCCCUUAACUUCUGAUUGUAUAGAUGUUUGUUUCAUUUGUUCAUCUGUUUGUUCACUUAGUCAGAGAUGUUUUAAGCCUUAAGAGAAAUAGUGGACUAGAAAAUGCCUUGGAAAAGUACAAAGUUCAAUCCAAGUAAACUGUUUUUAAACUAGGAAUUUAUGAAGCCUAAAAUAUAAAAUGUAUAUACAUGGAUAUGCUCUGAAGUGAGGUAGAGGGGUAGAAAUCAACAUUGUGAUAUUGUACUAUAGUUUUGCAAGAUGUUACCAUUGGGGGAAAAUGUUUGAAGGGUAUACGGGAUAUCUCUGCCUUAUUUCUUACAACUGCAUGUGAAUCUACAGUUAUCUCAAAAUAAAAAUUUAAUUAACAAUUGAUUACAAUUAACAGCAUUAAUUUCUUAUCCUGUCAUUUUCCUUCUCCUGAAAUUGCAGAAUAGCCAAACAGAAACCUACCCAUGACCACCAUCUGAGAUUCUUUGGUGCCCGUAUUAGUGGACAUAGGCAGGUGUAUCAGGAGGCAUCCAGUCACGCAUACUGGAAGAUACUGACUCAACUGAUUUAAGCAAAGGAAAAUACAGUGUAUUAUAUAAUGAGACAUCUUGAGUAGGGUAGUCCUAGGGUCAGUUGAUUCAGCAGCUUGAUUGAUAAUCAAGGGCCCAAAUUCUUUCCCACUUUCUACCCUGCCAUCCUCAGCCUAUCAGUUUCGUCCUCCAGCUGGCUUAAAGGUAGUUGCAAGGUGGCUGCUAUCAUGCCAUGCAAAAUGCAAAUGCAAAAAGUAUGCAGAUACAAAAAGUAUCUCUUUUCAUAAGUCUCAUUUUAAGGGCAAGGAAAAACCUGCAGGCCUUUCUGCCACUCUCUUGACCCACUUACUUAACUGUGGAACAAGUCACAAACACCUGUUUAAGUGGAUCACUUGGCCAGGAGGGAGAGAUUGCCAUUAUCCUUAGAUGGAGGAGAAUGGGGGUGGGGGUUGUUAUGCCUGAACAUAAUCAGUGCUCUGCCAGUGAGUAAGAGCAGAGAUGGGGUGAUUAAUAGGCAACCCCUCACCAAGGAGCCAUUGUAAAGCUUCAGGCCAGUUCAGAAGGUGAUGAAGAUGGAAAGCCUCCAAAGCAACCAGAACAACCAGAAGGAACACGCUUUUACAGCUUGCUUCUGAUUCCACACCGCGAGGACAAUGGGUCCAGCAUGCCACACUGAUCCAGGAACUUAGAACUAAGUAAGAAGCAAGGGAGAGAGGCUGCUAUAGCUGAAACCCAGAGAAUGAACUUUCUCCCAGGAGGUUGCAAGGGCUGCCCUUGUAAAAGAUCCUGUCCUGGGUUUAAAGGUUAGCAAAUUUUCUGUUUUGUUUUGCUUUGACUGCAUGAGGGUUGAGUUAAAGUGAAAUAAUAUUUAAGACUUAUUUUUUAAAUAAGAUAUUUUAUGUUUUUAUUUUUGUUUUUUUUUUUUUUUUUGGUUGGUAGAGACAGGGUCUCACUGUGUUGCCCAGGCUGGUUUUGAACACCUGGGCUUCUAAUCCUCCUGCCUCAGCCUCCCAAAGUGCUAGCAUCACAGGCAUGUGCCACCACACCCAACCCCUUAAAAGUCUUUUUACAAAUGAGAACAUGAACAAUUGCCUUUCAGAUUAUUUCCUGGUCAUCAAAGAUUUCUUUCUUUAUUUACAUAAAGGGGACAGGGGUCAGUCUGUGUAUUGGAAGAUGUGCCCAUAUUUGGUCACAUAUUGGAAGAGUACAAAAUUGCCCAAAUAAGGGAUAUUUAUUGCCUUCCUGACUGCAGACUCAAGGAGGCAGGAACUUUGACAUUUUCUCCAAUGCCUAUCUGUAUCCACAUUGCCUGUAACAUAGUAUAUGCUCAAUAAAUAUUGAUUGAACUAAUUAAAAAA